CAGCAGCCGCGGUAAUACGAAGGGGGCUAGCGUUGCUCGGAAUGACUGGGCGUAAAGGGCGCGUAGGCGGCGAUCAAAGUCAGGCGUGAAAUUCCUGGGCUCAACCUGGGGGCUGCGUUUGAUACUUGAUUGCUAGAGUGGGGAAGAGGGUCGUGGAAUUCCCAGUGUAGAGGUGAAAUUCGUAGAUAUUGGGAAGAACACCGGUGGCGAAGGCGGCGACCUGGUCCUUGACUGACGCUGAGGCGCGAAAGCGUGGGGAGCAAACAGGAUUAGAUACCCGCGUAGUCCCUGUCUCUUAUAC
rnacentral:rRNA from 1 species